rnacentral:rRNA from 1 species
AUUGAACGCUGGCGGCAUGCCUUACACAUGCAAGUCGAACGGCAGCACGGGUGCUUGCACCUGGUGGCGAGUGGCGAACGGGUGAGUAAUACAUCGGAACAUGUCCUGUAGUGGGGGAUAGCCCGGCGAAAGCCGGAUUAAUACCGCAUACGAUCUACGGAUGAAAGCGGGGGACCUUCGGGCCUCGCGCUAUAGGGUUGGCCGAUGGCUGAUUAGCUAGUUGGUGGGGUAAAGGCCUACCAAGGCGACGAUCAGUAGCUGGUCUGAGAGGACGACCAGCAACACUGGGACUGAGACACGGCCCAGACUCCUACGGGAGGCAGCAGUGGGGAAUUUUGGACAAUGGGCGAAAGCCUGAUCCAGCAAUGCCGCGUGUGUGAAGAAGGCCUUCGGGUUGUAAAGCCCUUUUGUCCGGAAAGAAAUCCUUGGCCCUAAUACGGUCGGGGAUGACGGUACCGGAAGAAUAAGCACCGGCUAACUACGUG